rnacentral:rRNA from 1 species
CNUCUGGCUCAGCUGGGGGCGUGCGGUGGGUACGGGCUGGCUUGAGUGCGGUAGGGGAGGCUGGAACUCCUGGUGUAGCGGUGGAAUGCGCAGAUAUCAGGAGGAACACCGGUGGCGAAGGCGGGUNUCUGGGCCGUUACUGACGCUGAGGAGCGAAAGCGUGGGGAGCGAACAGGAUUAGAUACCCUGGUAGUCCACGCUGUAAACGUUGGGCACUAGGUGUGGGGGGUCUUUCCGGGUCCUCCGCGCCGUAGCUAACGCAUUAAGUGCCCCGCCUGGGGAGUACGGCCGCAAGGCUAAAACUCAAAGGGAUUGACGGGGGCCCGCACAAGCGGCGGAGCAUGCGGAUUAAUUCGAUGCAACGCGAAGAACCUUACCAAGGCUUGACAUGUGCCGGUUGUCCUUCGGAGACGGGGGGUCCUCCCUAUUUGUGGGGGUCGGUUCACAGGUGGUACAUGGUUGUCGUCAGCUCGUGUCGUGAGAUGUUGGGUUAAGUCCCGCAACGAGCGCAACCCUUGUCCCGUGUUGCCAGCACGUCGUGGUGGGGACUCGCGGGAGACUGCCGGGGUUAACUCGGAGGAGGGUGGGGAUGACGUCAAAUCAUCAUGCCCCUUAUGUCUUGGGCUUCACGCAUGCUACAAUGGCCGGUACAGUGGGUUGCGAUGUCGUGAGGCGGAGCGAAUCCCUUAAAGCCGGUCUCAGUUCGGAUCGGUGUCUGCAACUCGACACCGUGAAGCUGGAGUCGCUAGUAAUCGCAGAUCAGCAGCGCUGCGGUGAAUACGUUCUCGGGCCUUGUACACACCGCCCGUCACGUCAUGAAAGCUGGCAACACCCGAAGCCCGUGGCCCUAUGGGGAGCGGU